CAAUAGCGUAUAUUAAAGUUGUUGCGGUUAAAAAGCUCGUAGUUGGAUUUCUGUUGGGAACGACCGGUCCGCCCAUUGGGUGUGUAUCUGGCUUGUUCUCGGCAUCUUCUUGGUGAACGUUGCUGCACUUGACUGUGUGGAGCGCUACCCAGGACUUUUACUUUGAGGAAAUUAGAGUGUUUCAAGCAGGCAUAUGCCUUGAAUACAUCAGCAUGGAAUAAUAAGAUAGGACCUCGGUUCUAUUUUGUUGGUUUCUAGAGCUGAGGUAAUGAUUAAUAGGGAUAGUUGGGGGCAUUCGUAUUUAACUGUCAGAGGUGGAAUUCUUGGAUUUGUUAAAGACGGACUACUGCGAAAGCAUUUGCCAAGGAUGUUUUCAUUGA
rnacentral:rRNA from 1 species